CCACAAAAAUGCCAUACAUGACACUGAUUAGGGAUGUGAUGAAUGUUAAGAUCCCGAUCAAAUUCCUAACGGUGUCAAACAUGGCGUAUGUGGUUGUAG
ensembl:miRNA mir-66 ncRNA